rnacentral:rRNA from 1 species
AUUGAACGCUGGCGGCAGGCCUAACACAUGCAAGUCGAACGGUAACAGGAAGCAGCUUGCUGCUUCGCUGACGAGUGGCGGACGUGUUAGUAAUGUCUGGGAAACUGCCUGAUGGAGGGGGAUAACUACUGGAAACGGUAGCUAAUACCGCAUAACGUCGCAAGACCAAAGAGGUUGACCUUAGGGCCUCUUGCCAUCGGAUGUGCCCAGAUGGGAUUAGCUAGUAGGUGGGGUAACGGCUCACCUAGGCGACGAUCCCUAGCUGGUCUGAGAGGAUGACCAGCCACACUGGAACUGAGACACGGUCCAGACUCCUACGGGAGGCAGCAGUGGGGAAUAUUGCACAAUGGGCGAAAGCCUGAUGCAGCCAUGCCGCGUGUAUGAAGAAGGCCUUCGGGUUGUAAAGUACUUUAAGCGGGGAGGAAGGGAGUAAAGUUAAUACCUUUGCUCAUUGACGUUACCCGCAGAAGAAGCACCGGCUAACUCCGUG